GUUCCUCUGGCCCCCUGCUGAAGGUCUGUCCUGAAAAUUGUGUUUAAGUGAAUUUUCUGUUAAAGGGAAUUUGUUGCUUCUGUUUAUCAAGAUGAUUGCAACACCUUUGAAACAUCCAGGAAUUCACCUGCCUUCAGAGACAUCUUCUCAAAGGAGAAACGUGCCCAUGCAUGCGAUCUUUUAUGACAGCAUUCCUUCAGGCACACUUACUCCUGUAAAAGAGUUGAUGAAAUAUCAGAUAUCCUCUUUAAAACCGAAUAGUCAUAAGAAGAGUCAGUUUGUAGAAAUGGCAGUUUUUAAUAAUAAAAAUGUAUUUCAGUCGACUUUGCUAGCGGAGGCUGCUACCUCUAACAGUUCUCUUGAUAUCAGUGCUAUAAAGCCCAACAAGGAUGAAUUUGAAAAUAAAGCAAGCUUUGAAACACCAGAAAAAAUAUUUCAAAGAAUGAAAGAAAAAGUACUACGCAACAAGCAAGAACAAGCAUCAAGAAACAGUUUUUUGGAACCAACACAAAAUGAAAGUUUCGCUCCUAAUGGAGCUGAGGAAAGAAUAUUACAGCAUACCUACCUCUGUGAAGAAAAGGAAAACAACAAAUCAUUCCAGCCAGAAAACAAUUCACUAAGAGAAAACUCAACCUCAGUCCAAGAAGUUCCUCUGGAAUCAUCAAAUAAUAUUUUUGUGCCAGUCAAGCAAAAGAUUACAUAUCAGCAGGAAAAGAAGGUGCCUCUGCACAAUUUAACUUAUGAGCUUCCAGUUCUGAAUCAAGAACGUAAAAAUGUUGCAGCUGCAAACAGGGUACUAACUAGAGCUCAGCUGGCUAGACAAAUUCUUCACUCAAAGGAGAAUAUAGUUGCAACCAAUAAAUCCCAAAAGGAAACAUUUAUUUUAGAAGACAUUGAUUCUACCCGUGAAAAGUCCCCAAAUACCACUGUUGAGACUCUUUGUGGUAAUAAUGUUGAGAAUGGUGGUCAAUUACUGGUUUCUAGUGAUAGUAAGAUUACAACAGAAGGCACUUCAAAACAGGAAAUUAAGGAAGGAAAUGAGAGAACAGUGCACAGAGAGACUGCUUUUCCAGGUUCCUUGAAUGAUACUUGUAAAAUCGUGCUUGCAACUCCGCAAUGUCAUAUAACAAUACCUCAGAGAUCAAAAAUAAAUGCCUGGAACCUUUCUCCAAGUAUAAGCCAAACUAUUACAAAUGGAGUUAAAAUUAAGGUAGUCCAGCUACAGGAAUGGAUGAUUAAAGUCAUCAAUAAUAACACUGCUAUAUGUGUAGAAGGAAAACUGACAGACAUCACCAACGUAUAUUGGCACAGUAAUGUAAUUAUAGAACGGAUUAAGCACAACAAACUUAGAACUUUAUCAGGCAACAUUUAUGUACUAAAAGGAAUGAUAGACCAAAUUUCCAUGAAAGAAGCAGGUUACUCAAGAAGUCUCAUAAGGAAAUUUAUGUUUGGAUUUCCAGAAAAAUGGAAAGAGUACAUUGAUAAUUUUUUAGAAGAGUUAAGGACUUGUGAGAAGAAAAAAGGAAAGGCCAGAAAAAAACAGAAAGCUAAAAGAUGUAUUCCUGACAUUCAAAAAUCAAUGAAAAAUGAUGCAAGGAAAAAAAACCCAAAUGUUCUCCAAGGAGCCACCACCACUUAUGACCGUGACUGUGAUUCUUUGGAGAGAACUAAAGAAUCAAAAGUACCCGUUGAUAUUCUAACAACAAGGGAACAGUUUUUCUCAGAUGAAGAAGGAAAAUAUAUGACUGUUAAUCUGAAGAAACCUUGUAUUUUAGUGACACCACUUAAAUCUAAAAAAAUUAUAGAGCAAAAGUGCAUGGACAGUAAUCUGUCAUCUGACUCUGUUAAAGCAGUAACAGAAUUUGCGUUGGGAAAGCUUCAAAAAGAAAGUAAAACAGACUCAAAUGAAACUACAAGUCCAGUUAGCAAGCCCACAAAGACUUUAGAAGGUACGUUUGAGUGUAGUGUGGGCCAUAAUAGUGAAAAUACAGAAGGUUGUUUUGAACGUGAUUUCUUCACUGUCAACCACAAAAUAAAAAUAUCCAGUUCUAAAAAAGAACACAUGGGCACCUCUGACUUUAAGAAAAAUACAAGGUUAUCAAAACUGAAGAAAAUUGAAAAUCAAGUAACUGUGUCAUUUGACAAGCAUCAGUCCUCAUCAGAUUUGUUUAAUGAAGAAAGUGAAAAAGAAAAGAAAUUUAGAAGGAAAACUGAGAUUGUUAAGAAAACCAGAGCAAUAAAUACUGAAGAAACAGUGGUUCACCAGAGAAAAAGCACAAGAAAAACAAGGACAGUCCCAGCGAUGCCUGAAUCUGAAACUGAAGAAAGUGAAAAUGAGCUUUAUAUGAAACAGAAGAAAGCUAAAUGUUCUGCUAAAGAAAACCUUCAGAAGCCUGAUGUUGGUAAUGAGCUUCCAAAUACCGAGAAAACGGGAUCUGGUAAGACAAACAGGCAUUCCUUGGAAUGCUUGUCUGGUUUUACUCAGGAUGAGGAAUGGAAUAAGAAAGAAUUACAGAAACUUCAUUGUGCUGUUGUAUCUCUGCCAAAGCACAAGCCUGGUUUCUGGUCAGACGUAGCUAUGGCUGUAGGUUCUCGAUCCGCGGAUGAAUGCCAGAGGAAGUACAUGGAAGAUCCCCGAGGAAAACGAUUUCAGAAACGUGACACCAAGAAAAAGCCAGCCAACCCCAAAGGCAAAAACGGCAAGAUCGAUGAUGCUGAUAAGAAGGAAACUGUGAAGAUAACUGCCAAAGUGGGAACUCUUAAAAGGAAGCAGCAGAUGAGAGAUUUUCUUGAACAGCUGCCGAAAGAUGACCAUGAUGAUUUUUUCAGUGCAACACCUUUGCAGCAUCGAAAAAUACUGUUACCAAGUUUCCAGGACAGUCAAGAAGGGGAGGAUAUUCUGCCAAAUAUGGACAGAAAUCCAACAACUCCAUCAUCAGUAAUCUUUCCACUGGCAAAAACUCCUCAGUGUCAUCAUGUCACGCCUAGCAUGCUAGACUCUAUAAACAGGAAUGAUUGUGAUAAAUAUGUUUUUCGUAUGCAAAAAGCCCAUAAAAGUAAAGGUGGCACUACCUGGGGCAAUAUCAAGAAAAAGACGAUUGAAACUGAUUUUUCAACUCCACCAUCAAGAAGGAAAACACCAUUUAACAAAGAAUUAGCAGAGAACUCUGGUAUUGGAAAACUUUUCACAAAGGCUAUGGAGUCUUUAGAUGAAGAAGAGAAUGAUUAUUAUUUUUCAAGUUCUGAUUCUGCAUAGUAUAAAUAAGAGAACAUGUCCAGGAUGUUUAUCAAGAAGCAGACAGUGUAUUUGUGUCUUCAUCUGAUGUAUAUUUUCUUUAUAGAAACUGCACACUCUUUUUCAAAGGUUUCAUGUUUUAUGUCUCUCAAAAGCAUCUUAGUCUGUUUAAGAAAAUCAUGUUCCAUACAGGUGUUCUUAUUUU
rnacentral:lncRNA from 1 species